rnacentral:rRNA from 1 species
GCACAACGCGAAGAACCUUACCCACCUUUGACAUGUACGGAAUCCUUUGGAGAUAGAGGAGUGCUCGAAAGAGAGCCGUAACACAGGUGCUGCAUGGCUGUCGUCAGCUCGUGUCGUGAGAUGUUGGGUUAAGUCCCGCAACGAGCGCAACCCUUGCCAUUAGUUGCUACGAAAGGGCACUCUAAUGGGACUGCCGGUGACAAACCGGAGGAAGGUGGGGAUGACGUCAAGUCCUCAUGGCCCUUAUAGGUGGGGCUACACACGUCAUACAAUGGCUGGUACAAAGGGUUGCCAACCCGCGAGGUGGAGCUAAUCUCACAAAACCGAUCGUAGUCCGGAUCGCAGUCUGCAACUCGACUGCGUGAAGUCGGAAUCGCUAGUAAUCGCGAAUCAGAAUGUCGCGGUGAAUACGUUCCCGGGUCUUGUACACACCG